GAAAUUUUUAUUUUGUAACAUUAAUCUCUAUUUCUAGACACCGAGAUGUAGUAGUAGUGAUUGCUUGUUGGGUUAAGUUUCUUGUUGCCAUAUGAAGUGUAACUCUUUCUUAAGAGGUUCAGAGCAGAUUUGUCAUUUGAUGAUAGAUCUGCCUACUUUGUAACUCUACUUCUGGCCACUAUUUACUGGCAAAGAAUUCAUUCAAUGAAAUGAAGGCUGAAAUCAAAUUUAAA
rnacentral:lncRNA from 1 species